CGGAGGAGUGGUCCCUGGCAUGCGGUGAAUAGCGAAAAGUGUACGGAACAUGAAAAUCCAGUAUGACUUCUCUAAAAAUCUCAAAAGGUUUACAGAGCAGCACUAUUUAAUAAAGAAAUGUGGCUCUGUAGUGGACACCUGUGAGGCAGUGGACAGACAGCUGCUGAUGUCUGAUGCCGGCUGACAAUAAACAGACCUCUCUGGACGUACCUCAUCUUUUGCAGUUCUUUUUUUUUUCUUUUUUUUUCAGAGAAAUUAUAAAAUUGCCCUUCCUGUAACAUGAUGAUCCUGCUGUCCUGGACUGUAUAUGAUGAGCCUACACAUAAUCUCAGAACAGCUGUGGUAAUAACAGGAGAUCCAUUUGGUGAGAGCAGCACUACAGACUCCUGAUGGAGAUCAUGGACCAUUUUCACAAGACUGAUGAUGUGUUUCAGCUGUGUUUUCAUCGUAAAUCUUCACAAUGUUUGUAUAUUUUGAUUUAAAAAAAAUUAUGUGCAUUUAUAACACUAUACUUUGUAUUAUAUCAAAUUCGUAUCAAAUUACAGAAAAAAAUAGUUAAUGCUAAUGCAAAGGUGUUUCUAAUCCAGAGUCUUUGGGAGGAAUGCUAAAUUUGACAUUGUUCUCUCUUCUGACUGCUGUUAUCGGUCUCAGUCAGAUUUUUUCCUUUGAUUGAAAGUUGUGAAAAAGCUAUUGUAGAGUUUUUCAUUUUGCUAUUUGAGUAAAUGAGAAUGCAAAAAU